rnacentral:rRNA from 1 species
UGGGGGAAAUUUUGGACAAUGGGCGAAAGCCUGAUCCAGCAAUGCCGCGUGUGUGAAGAAGGCCUUCGGGUUGUAAAGCACUUUUGUCCGGAAAGAAAUCCUUGGCUCUAAUACAGUCGGGGGAUGACGGUACCGGAAGAAUAAGCACCGGCUAACUACGUGCCAGCAGCCGCGGUAAUACGUAGGGUGCAAGCGUUAAUCGGAAUUACUGGGCGUAAAGCGUGCGCAGGCGGUUUGCUAAGACCGAUGUGAAAUCCCCGGGCUCAACCUGGGAACUGCAUUGGUGACUGGCAGGCUAGAGUAUGCAGAGGGGGGUAGAAUUCCGACGUGUAGCAGUGAAAUGCGUAGAGAUGUGGAGGAAUACCGAUGGCGAAGGCAGCCCCCUGGGCCAAUACUGACGCUCAUGCACGAAACGCGUGGGGAGCAAAACAGAUUAGAUACCCUGGUAGUCCACGCCCUAAAACGAUGUCAACUAGUUGUUGGGGGAUUCAUUUCCUUAGUAACGUAGCUAACGCGUGAAAGUUGACCGCCUGGGGAGUACGGUCGCAAGAUUAAAACUU